rnacentral:rRNA from 1 species
ACAUGCCUAUAACAUAGCGUUAAUGCAUCAGAUCCCAUUAGAAAACUGCAGUUAAACGCACUCAGGCUAGAGUAGUACUAGGAUGGGUGACCUCUCGGGAAGUCCUAGCGUUUUACAUGCC